UGUGGUCCUACGAGGAAGUCAGGAGGAGGCUUCAGGGGAGAGGAGCCUGCUUCUCCUGCCACCGGGACUCAUCUCGAACCUCAGCGCACCAAGAGGCUCCCCUUGAACUUCAGAAAAACUACCUACACGGCUCUCGGACCUCAUAGAACGGUGCUGUGAGCUCCGGACCCCGGCCUGCGCUGUCAGUGAAGGCUCAGGAGAAGGUCACGUCGCACAUUAGUCUCCCGAGCUCACACAGGCUUCUCGACGUGCUCGCCUGGGCGUAAGCAGGAACGCUGCCACUCCGCGUGUCUCCAGUCACGGAGCUACGGCUGAAAAGCCGGCCGGUUUUGUGAAUGACUGCAGGCAAAAAGACGCCGUUGACCCAACCUCGACACUCACGUCCCAUUUCCUGUCCUGGGCGUCACCUCCACAGAGUAAUACCAGUGAUAUCAUAGUCACUGGAGGGGAUCCAGGGAGGGUAAUGCUGUGUCUGACUCACCCACAAGAAUCAGAUUCAUACUGUGUGCCCAGGAAAAUAAUAAAACAGUACACUAAUGA